AAGCCUGAUCCAGCCAUGCCGCGUGGGUGAAGAAGGCCUUCGGGUUGUAAAGCCCUUUUGUUGGGAAAGAAAAGCAGCCGGCCAAUACCCGGUUGUUCUGACGGUACCCAAAGAAUAAGCCCCGGCUAACUUCGUGCCAGCAGCCGCGGUAAUACGAAGGGGGCUAGCGUUGCUCGGAAUCACUGGGCGUAAAGGGUGCGUAGGCGGGUUUCUAAGUCAGAGGUGAAAGCCUGGAGCUCAACUCCAGAACUGCCUUUGAUACUGGAAGUCUUGAGUUCGGGAGAGGUGAGUGGAACUGCGAGUGUAGAGGUGAAAUUCGUAGAUAUUCGCAAGAACACCAGUGGCGAAGGCGGCUCACUGGCCCGAUACUGACGCUGAGGCACGAAAGCGUGGGGAGCAAACA
rnacentral:rRNA from 1 species